ACGCUCGACACCUACGGGAGGCAGCAGUGGGGAAUAUUGGGCAAUGGGCGCAAGCCUGACCCAGCAACGCCGCGUGAAGGAAGAAGGCUUUCGGGUUGUAAACUUCUUUUGUCAGGGAACAGUAGAAGAGGGUACCUGACGAAUAAGCCACGGCUAACUACGUGCCAGUAGCCGCGGUAAUCUGAGCGGGCUGGCAAGGC
rnacentral:rRNA from 1 species